GACGAACGCUGGCGGCGUGCUUAACACAUGCAAGUCGAACGGAAAGGCCUCUUUCGGGGGGUACUCGAGUGGCGAACGGGUGAGUAACACGUGAGUAACCUGCCCUUGACUUUGGGAUAACUUCAGGAAACUGGGGCUAAUACCGGAUAGGAGCUCCUGCUGCAUGGUGGGGGUUGGAAAGUUUCGGCGGUUGGGGAUGGACUCGCGGCUUAUCAGCUUGUUGGUGGGGUAGUGGCUUACCAAGGCUUUGACGGGUAGCCGGCCUGAGAGGGUGACCGGCCACAUUGGGACUGAGAUACGGCCCAGACUCCUACGGGGGGCAGCAGUGGGGAGUAUUGCACAAUGGGUGGAAGCCUGAUGCAGCAACGCCGUGUGCGGGAUGACGGCCUUCGGGUUGUAAACCGCUUUCGCUCAUGACGAAGCUUUGUGUGACGGUAGUGGGUAAAGAAGCACCGGCUAACUACGUG
rnacentral:rRNA from 1 species